rnacentral:rRNA from 1 species
GACGAACGCUGGCGGCGUGCUUAACACAUGCAAGUCGAACGGAAAGGCCCUGCUUUUGUGGGGUGCUCGAGUGGCGAACGGGUGAGUAACACGUGAGUAACCUGCCCUUGACUUUGGGAUAACUUCAGGAAACUGGGGCUAAUACCGGAUAGGAGCUCCUGCUGCAUGGUGGGGGUUGGAAAGUUUCGGCGGUUGGGGAUGGACUCGCGGCUUAUCAGCUUGUUGGUGGGGUAGUGGCUUACCAAGGCUUUGACGGGUAGCCGGCCUGAGAGGGUGACCGGCCACAUGGGGACUGAGAUACGGCCCAGACUCCUACGGGAGGCAGCAGUGGGGAAUAUUGCACAAGGGGCGGAAGCCUGAUGCAGCAACGCCGCGUGCGGGAGGACGGCCUUCGGGUUGGAAACCGCUUUCGCCUGUGACGAAGCGUGAGUGACGGUAAUGGGUAAAGAAGCACCGGCUAACUACGU